CAGAUCUGAAGAUCAAAGCUUAUUUAGUCUGGGAACACUUAUUAAAGAAAAUGUCAUUUGUGUUCAAAAUAAUAACUUGUAACUCUUCCAGAACUGUUUUUCACCUAAUCGGAUUCAUCCUUACAAAGGAAAUUCCAAAGAGAAAAAUCUGGAACUUUUGGCCUGGUAUGUGUGUGCAGAGACCAGAUGGCUGCCAGAUUUUAAACAAAGAAGCAAAGGCAAGGAAUUAAACUGAAGAAGAAGAAGAAAUGAAGAGAGCGAGAGCACAACCUUUGAGAACACUCACAGGUGUUCUCAUGUUGUCUCAGCAGGAUUUUAGGUCAUUGGAGACAGCUUUUGUCCUCUUCAUGUUUUUUUUCUUCUGUAGUUAGGAAAACAAGUGUCACUUUGUUAUGUGAAAAAUUGUAAGGACUUAAAGCUCAUGGAUAUGGCAGACCAGGAGAGGAGUGCCAAUGAGAGAACACGUCACUCUUCUUAAUUCCACUACAGUAUGUAUGUGCAUAUGUCUUUGUGUGUAUCUGUGUAUGGCUGCACGUGAGUAUUCGGAAUUUUGUCCCUUGACUCCAGAUAAGACUAUUUCAGAAAAUCCAACAUAUGGCAAUUACAUUAAAUAUGGUAUAUUAAAAUAGAGAAUUGACUCAGAAGUGAGAUUUGAUGGGGAAAACAGAAUGAGUGGAAACUGAUUUCAAUUGAUUUGGUAAAAUCACUAAGGAGUCAGUUUAUUUAAAUCCCCAUGAUUCUGUCUAUAUUCAAAACCUGUCUUACAAAGAAUGCACUUGAACAUGCAUUUGAAGACAACAUACGGAAGAACAUGCUUUUGUAACCUGCCCAGGUCUGAGAUCAGGGAGAUAUUCCACUCUUUUCUCAGUAAUGUCUUGCCUAUAACCUUAACCUUGAGGAGAGAUUGUUUCCAGCUGACCUGCGCAGCUAUAGUUAUAAUGGCUGUAGGAAUCUUAAGAAAUCAGUGGCAUUUUAUGUGGUUCUCAUUGCUGUAUAAUUCCUUCUAACUCUUUUGUUCUUGUAUGUUUCUUCUAGUAACUUUUCAUUAACAUUUAUUAUAGCCCGAGGCUGGCUAAGUCCAGGAGACACUUCUGUUUAUAAACCCACACCUCUUCCCUUCCAGCUCGACAUCUGCACCAGCUCACAGCUCAUUGUGAGUCACUUGCAGAACUGCAAAUGAUAAAGAUUAUAAGCUCAGCUGGCUCUAUUUUCGCUGGAAGAAGGACAAAACUAUGAUCAACAAAGCAUCCAUAAAAAAUAAAGAAAAGAGCAAAUCCCGUGAGUUUUUUUCCCCCUCAGCUUGUUCACUGAAGAAAUGGAAAUAGAAUCCUAUGGGAAUUAACUUACUGCCCUUUCAGUUUGAAUCAGAAGAAGGUACAAGCGUGUAGUAGCUGGUGUUGUGUGUUAACCUGACACAGCUGGAGCCAUCAGAGAGGAAGGCGCCUCAGUGGAGGAAGAUGCUCUGUGAGAUCUAGCAGUACAUCAUUUUCUCAAUUAGUCAUCAGUGAGGGAGGGUCCAGUCCAUGGUGGGUGGUAGUCCUGGGUUCUGUAAGAAAGUAGGCUGAGCAAGCCAUGA